CUAGCCCCAAGGACUCAUCGUCAUCAUCAUCGUCACAAGGCAGAGGUUCCCUUGGGUUAGCAAAGGGCCACCUCAGGGACUCAGAUAUCAGAAAUGGCUCUCCAUCAGCGUUUCUUCAGAAAAAUCUGAAUAAAGGAAAUGAAACAGAAGGAAAAGAGGAGGAAGAUGAGACGAAAUAACAGCAAUACACUGACGGCUGUUGGUAGAUGUAUCAGCCCAGCCCGGGCAGGAGAAUGGAGUCAUCAGAGGAAAACAGAGUCAUCAGAGGAAGACGUCAUACAGGGGCAUUUGGGACUCUCCCAAAGAGAAGAGCAGGAGCCCAGGCUGGGGUGAUAGCAUCCUGUGGGCAGCCAACUGACCAGCCUCCCCACGUUCUACCUCUCCUGUGGAUGCGGUCAGUCUCUCUCGGCUGGGAAUCCCACUGGCUGUCCAUGUGUCAGAAGCUCAGAACACCCCCACACCUGCCUCACCGGCAGUUCGCUUUCUCAGGACACUGUCCACCCUGAGUGACACCUGACUUUCAGACCCAAAUCCCUGAUAUCAUCCUGUUCCCUCAGGACCCACAUCCACCUCAAACUGUCACCUCAGCCUUGGUAAUCAAUCCUUUAUCAUCACCUCUUUCUUAACACAGCUCAGCCAUAUUGGGUAGGAUCUAUGCAGCAGCCAGGUGGACUGCGGCUAUUGAGUCUCACACAGGAUUCUACACAGCCCUCACAUCACAUUCAGAGGGAAGGCUACGCACAGUCCCCGAGUUGCUCGACACAUAUUGCCUGGUGAAUGAAUGUCACUGCUUUAGUACCACAGUUCAAAAAACAAAUAGUAUCAAAGAAACAAAUAAACAUGCAAAGGACAUUUAAAACUAAUGAAAUACAGUCUCACCUCCCCAGAUCUCCUUUUUUUUGCAAGUGGGCAGAAGUCAAAUGUAGAUUCAACGUGGUCUCCUAGAUUUGCUACCAACCCCAUCAGACCCAGCAUCAUCUAGUACUGAAGUGGGUAUGAACAAUUUGGGCAAGAAUCUGAGUAGAUAUUUAGGUUUCAUGAGAUCUAUCUGUGGGGUGUGCAGGCAUAGCUGUAAGUUAUUGUUAUCUAGCCUAUAAAGGGAUGGCUCUCAGAAGCGUUCCUCCUGUCCCCCACACCAUUUGGCCUGUCGGCUGCCACUGUACAGAGAAAGGAAUAUACCUGUAGAGGACAGAUGGCUCGAGAAAGGUACUGACAGGCUAGAAGAGAG
rnacentral:lncRNA from 1 species